AACGAACGCUGGCGGCAUGCCUAACACAUGCAAGUCGAACGAGAUCCUUCGGGGUCUAGUGGCGCACGGGUGCGUAACGCGUGGGAAUCUGCCCUUAGGUUCGGAAUAACAGUUAGAAAUGACUGCUAAUACCGGAUGAUGACGUUAAGUCCAAAGAUUUAUCGCCUGAGGAUGAGCCCGCGUAGGAUUAGCUAGUUGGUGUGGUAAAGGCGCACCAAGGCGACGAUCCUUAGCUGGUCUGAGAGGAUGAUCAGCCACACUGGGACUGAGACACGGCCCAGACUCCUACGGGAGGCAGCAGUGGGGAAUAUUGGACAAUAGGCGCAAGCCUGAUCCAGCAAUGCCGCGUGAGUGAUGAAGGCCUUAGGGUUGUAAAGCUCUUUUACCCGAGAUGAUAAUGACAGUAUCGGGAGAAUAAGCCCCGGCUAACUCCGUG
rnacentral:rRNA from 1 species